CAAACCCAGCUCUAACACCCCAAAACCCAGCUCUAACACCCCAAAACCCAACUCUAACAUCCCAAACCCAGCUCUAACACCCCAAACCCAGCUCUAACAUCCCAAACCCAGCUCUAACACCCCAAAACUCAGCUCUAACACCCCAAAUCCAGCUUCCUCCUUCACCUUCUUCUUCUCUGGGCCCUUGGCACCUCGUUCCCCAAAGAGGAGGCAGGGCAGAGCUGUGGCUUUUGGGGAAAACUCUCCUAUUUUGGGGUUUUUGGGGUAUUUUUGGUGUGCAGACCUGCUGGGUCAGGAUUGCCUCCCUGCACAGGAAGGAAUUUUGGCCCUCACUAAUAAAAAAAUUAUCAUUCUCCAGGAUUAAUGCCACUGGUUCUGUGUGUGCUCCACAAAACCUGUCUGGUUUCCCUGGAUUAAAGGGAAUUAUUCCCAGUAAAUUUCAUUGCACUGAGAAUAUUUCUUAUUUUGGGGUUUUUUUGUUUUGUUUUGUUUUUUGGGUUUUUUGGGUUUUUUUGCCUAAGUUUGAACAAGAGAAAAGUUCAAAAGUUGAGAGCUCCAGACCCAGCAGAUUUUUUAAAAUCUCUUUUUCUACAACAGGAACGUUUUUAUUAUAUAUAAAAAAAAAAAUUCCCCCUCUUCUAGACCUCAAAUUUUUAUGGAUUUUUGCCGUGGAUCAACCAGAUCAAACUCAACAGGUGUGAGCCAUCACUUCACCCUUUCCCACUGCUUAAUUUUUAAUAUUUCCACCAAGCUCAGCUGCCAGAGCAGGGCAGAGCCAGGCUUUACAUUCAGGCUGAGUUUAGUCAGUGGAAAAUUUGAUUUUAAAGUGCUUUUUCCCCCCCUUUUUUCACAUAACCCAUUCCAGGGACUCAAUAUUUUGUCCUUAUCCCAAUGGAAUUUUCUCUCCUACAAAAUCCCACUUGUUGAUGACUGCCCAAGGAAAAGUCAUUCCUUAGAUCCUAAGGAAUUUUGGACAUCACAGCCAGGAAUGACAGACAGACACAAAUAUGGACCAGGAAAUUAUUCAGGUCCAGAAAAAAACCUGGGGCUCCAAGACAAGAGGCACUAGGGAAUAGCAAAAGUGGGAAUGGCAGAAAAAUGGGAAUAUUUGGGCGGUUUUGGGGCUUGUAAUUAACUGAACUGGGUAUAAGGAAUUUUAAAAAUGACCCCAAAACACAGAAAAUGGAGCAGGGAGGGGAGAGCAGGAGUUGUGGAGUCCUUUCCCUGCCACCAGACUGCAGGAGGCCACUGAGAAUUUCAAGGAAUCCAUGGAAAAAAAUGAGAUUUUUCUGGCAAUCCUUUAGUCCUGGGUGUUUCCCCCAUUUCUGGAUACAGAAAGAUGAAAGGAGGGGAAGUGAUGAGGGUUCAGAUUCCUGGGGAUGGAAUUUCCCUUUUUAUCUUGCCCCACAAGAAGGGGGUGCAGCAGGAGUGGGGCUGCUCAGGGGCCCCUCCGUGCUGGGUUUUGGGGUGUUUAACCAGGAUUUUGGGGUGUUUAACCAGGCUCACCCUAGAAGAAGAGGCUGCUCAGGGCCCCCUCUUGCUGCUUCUUGGGGUUUUGGGGUGUUUUAACCAGACUUUUGGGGUGUUUUCACCAGUUUUUUGGGUGUUUAACCAGGCUCACCCUGCUCAGGGCCCCCUCUGUGCUGGGUUUUGGGGUGUUUUGACCAGACUUUUGGGGUGUUUUCACCAGGAUUUUGGGGUGUUUAACCAGGCUCACCCUGCAGCAGGAGGGCCAGAGCAGCUCCUUUCCUCCCAGGCCAGGGCUGGGGGGUGUUGGUGAAUCAGACCCGACAC